UACGUAGGGUGCAAGCGUUGCCCGGAUUUAUUGGGCGUAAAGGGCGCGUAGGCGGCUCUGCACGUUCGUUGUGAAAUCGCCCGGCUCAACUGGGCGGGGUCAGCGGAUACGGCAGAGCUUGAGCAAGCUAGGGGGCAAUGGAAUUCCCGGUGUAGUGGUGGAAUGCGUAGAUAUCGGGAGGAACACCAGUGGCGAAGGCGGCCCGCUGGGCAGUGGCUGACGCUGAGGCGCGACAGCGUGGGGAGCAAACAGG
rnacentral:rRNA from 1 species